CACGUGGGUAACCUGCCUGUAAGACUGGGAUAACUCCGGGAAACCGGGGCUAAUACCGGAUGGUUGUUUGAACCGCAUGGUUCAAACAUAAAAGGUGGCUUCGGCUACCACUUACAGAUGGACCCGCGGCGCAUUAGCUAGUUGGUGAGGUAACGGCUCACCAAGGCGACGAUGCGUAGCCGACCUGAGAGGGUGAUCGGCCACACUGGGACUGAGACACGGCCCAGACUCCUACGGGAGGCAGCAGUAGGGAAUCUUCCGCAAUGGACGAAAGUCUGACGGAGCAACGCCGCGUGAGUGAUGAAGGUUUUCGGAUCGUAAAGCUCUGUUGUUAGGGAAGAACAAGUACCGUUCGAAUAGGGCGGUACCUUGACGGUACCUAACCAGAAAGCCACGGCUAACUACGUGCCAGCAGCCGCGGUAAUACGUAGGUGGCAAGCGUUGUCCGGAAUUAUUGGGCGUAAAGGGCUCGCAGGCGGUUUCUUAAGUCUGAUGUGAAAGCCCCCGGCUCAACCGGGGAGGGUCAUUGGAAACUGGGGAACUUGAGUGCAGAAGAGGAGAGUGGAAUUUCCACGUGUAGCGGUGAAAUGCGUAGAGAUGUGGAGGAACACCAGUGGCGAAGGCGACUCUCUGGUCUGUAACUGACGCUGAGGAGCGAAAGCGUGGGGAGCGAACAGGAUUAGAUACCCUGGUAGUCCACGCCGUAAACGAUGAGUGCUAAGUGUUAGGGGGUUUCCGCCCCUUAGUGCUGCAGCUAACGCAUUAAGCACUCCGCCUGGGGAGUACGGUCGCAAGACUGAAACUCAAAGGAAUUGACGGGGGCCCGCACAAGCGGUGGAGCAUGUGGUUUAAUUCGAAGCAACGCGAAGAACCUUACCAGGUCUUGACAUCCUCUGACAAUCCUAGAGAUAGGACGUCCCCUUCGGGGGCAGAGUGACAGGUGGUGCAUGGUUGUCGUCAGCUCGUGUCGUGAGAUGUUGGGUUAAGUCCCGCAACGAGCGCAACCCUUGAUCUUAGUUGCCAGCAUUCAGUUGGGCACUCUAAGGUGACUGCCGGUGACAAACCGGAGGAAGGUGGGGAUGACGUCAAAUCAUCAUGCCCCUUAUGACCUGGGCUACACACGUGCUACAAUGGACAGAACAAAGGGCAGCGAAACCGCGAGGUUAAGC
rnacentral:rRNA from 2 species